AGAGUUUGAUCCUGGCUCAGAUUGAACGCUGGCGGCAGGCCUAACACAUGCAAGUCGAGCGGAUGAAAGGAGCUUGCUCCUGGAUUCAGCGGCGGACGGGUGAGUAAUGCCUAGGAAUCUGCCUGGUAGUGGGGGACAACGUUUCGAAAGGAACGCUAAUACCGCAUACGUCCUACGGGAGAAAGCAGGGGACCUUCGGGCCUUGCGCUAUCAGAUGAGCCUAGGUCGGAUUAGCUAGUUGGUGAGGUAAUGGCUCACCAAGGCGACGAUCCGUAACUGGUCUGAGAGGAUGAUCAGUCACACUGGAACUGAGACACGGUCCAGACUCCUACGGGAGGCAGCAGUGGGGAAUAUUGGACAAUGGGCGAAAGCCUGAUCCAGCCAUGCCGCGUGUGUGAAGAAGGUCUUCGGAUUGUAAAGCACUUUAAGUUGGGAGGAAGGGUUGUAGAUUAAUACUCUGCAAUUUUGACGUUACCGACAGAAUAAGCACCGGCUAACUCUGUGCCAGCAGCCGCGGUAAUACAGAGGGUGCAAGCGUUAAUCGGAAUUACUGGGCGUAAAGCGCGCGUAGGUGGUUCGUUAAGUUGGAUGUGAAAUCCCCGGGCUCAACCUGGGAACUGCAUUCAAAACUGUCGAGCUAGAGUAUGGUAGAGGGUGGUGGAAUUUCCUGUGUAGCGGUGAAAUGCGUAGAUAUAGGAAGGAACACCAGUGGCGAAGGCGACCACC
rnacentral:rRNA from 1 species